ensembl:snoRNA small nucleolar RNA SNORA17
CUUUCCUCCAGCCUGAAUGUCAGGGUGGGAGGUGAUAAGGCAAAGGGGAUGGCAGAGAGGAGAGUGUGUUGUGUUUCCUUUGAACUCCCUGGGUAAAGAGUUUCAGAGGUUUUAACACACAAACUUC